CACAAUGUGGCCAAGUGGUCAAAGUGUUGUAUUCGAAAUGGAAUUCCCCCUGAGAGCGCAGGUUGAAGUCCUGCGUUUGUUA